AAAAAAAAAAAAAAAAAAAAAAAGUAGAUGAGAUUUAGGAUGGGGGACAAUGGAAGAGUUUUGCAUAGUGAGAUUCCUAUUUGUGGAUGGGCGUAGGAAGAAGGUUAAUAAUAUGGACUCUGCAAUGAGACCUGCUUCGGCCUAAUAAGGGGACGGUACACUAGCAGUGUGAAGAAGGGUUCUAUUUGUGUCCUCAAUGUGGCGAUGUUUAUAUUCGGCAAUGCCAUUUUGUUGAGGAUUAUAAGGACAUGAGAAACAUUGUUGGAUUCCUAGUGAGUUACAAAAAUUCGUGAAAGCAUGAUUCAUAUAUUUAGUACCAUUGUCCCUUUGAAGAAUUUGAAGGAUUUGAAUAGUAGAAUGAAAUAAAUUGCAUAAUAUCAAAAGCCACUGAUUGAUACACAUGGGACAUCCAAACAUCAAAAUGAACUAAUUGAAAAAGAGUUAGUACUGAAUGAAGACUAUUGAAAAAUGACAAUUGAGUGCAUUCUUUUUAUAGCACAAUCUUGACAAAAAGACAUUAUAAUUAAAUUGUUUUCGUAACAAAGGCCCUAGACGAGAGAGAACAAAUGACGACAAGUGACCGAGAUGACGACGCCAAGUGGAGGAGUGAAGAGUAGCGAAAGCAUGAAGGACGACAUGUUUGUGAAGGGAGGAAAACUGGAGGGGAUAAAGGCCAUUUUUUCAUGGGCGCUGAAAUAAUAAGAUAUCGAUAAGUAAAUUAUAAAUCUGAUAAAAAUCAGGAGCAAAGAGAAAGAAUGUGAGAUUAUGUUUAGUGAAAGGAGCAACGAAGAUAGAGUUUUUGUGAAGAGUAGGAAUGCGAAAGACAUCACGAAGAGUAAGUUCAAAGGAACCCAAAGAAAAGGGAAAUUAUCGGUGUGGGUAAUAUUCAUAGAAUCACCAUUACCCAUGAGAUUUUUUUGACUACCCUUGUAAGAUGACAGGUUCUGAAGUGGUGUGGAUGGACCCAUCAUCUAAUGAGUGGUGCCGGUAUCCGGGUACAAAACUGGAUCAGCAGCAGCAGCAGGUUGAGCUAUGUGAGCACUAUCAAAAGGGAAUGUUGAGGUAUUAGAUUACCGAUGCGGGCGUGCAGCCUAGUGUGUUGAUUAGUACCUGGCUGGUGAAGGGCCCAACAUGCCAGGCGAAGCCACGAAGAGGAAGGCCCAUAAGGAUACUGAAGCCACGAUUUCUGCUGCCAAGUGGGUUGGCCCGGCAUACUAAAGUGCUAAUGGUUGUUGAAAUGGCGCUGGUUAUGGCCGCGACUGUUGUUGUUAUGACAAUAGUUGCCACCGCAAUUAAGAUUGCUUCGAUUACUGAGAUUGCGAUUGUUGUGAUUGCCACCAGGAGAAGGGGGAGGGGAACUGUUAUUGUGGGAUAGAGAAGAAUUUGGGUAGUUUGUGUAGAGGGCAAUAUGACAAAAGUGAGAGAGAUUGUUCAUACAGGUAUCGUUUGGUAUGCAGGCGGGACGAAACGGAGAGGGAGCAAAGAUGCCCUCGGAUGGAAACUGUAGACAUCGAAAUUUCGGUAAAAUAAAUAUUGAUCAAUAAUUAAAAUUUCAACGUUCAUGUCACAUAAAUUUUACACAUAGCAUGUGACUAAACAAAAAAUCAAAAUAAAUCGGAAAAGUCAUCAAACAGGACACGUGUCAACACCUGGCAGAAAUGAUUUAUUUCAUCUGAUUAUUUAAAUAAAAAAAAAUCAAGUUUUGAAAUUUUAUAAAUAGGAAGCCAAGGCUUUCAUUUUGAGGACACCAAUUCAUAACCAAUUCACCUCACACCAAAAAUUGGAAGCUUUGAAACUUCAAAGUUCCCAAGCAAAUCCCGAGGGAUUGAGAAAGCUCUCUUCGUUCUUCGUCAAAUCCUCAUUCAAAAUCAAGCCCCAACGGCCCUUGAAGAACUUCCACUAAUUCAAGAUCAAGCCCCAACGACCCUUGAAGAAAGUGUUCAUCAUUCAUCAUUUGUUCAUCCCUAGAUCAAGCCCCGAUGGCCCUUUGGAUCAACAACGUCAACAAAUCCGCACAACUGUUUAUCCCAAGAUCAAGCCCCGACGGCUCUUUGGAUCAACAACAUCAAAUCCACCCAUUACAAAGAUAGAAUCAGAGGCUAAAUUUGUAGAAAAGAUUGUAACCCUUAAAUCAUCAAUACAAAUAUUAUUUUGUACACGUGUUCUUGUCUCGUUCAUCGCAGGAAUUCUCGUGUUUACAAAUUUGGCACGCCCAGUGGGACAAUUCUCUACCUCUCAUCUCUAUCUUUGAAUCCGCAAAAAGCACAAAUGGCAUCAAAGAAGGCUCAAGUUGUUCUCGCAGCCAAUGCAAGGAACAAGAACGUCAUCACCGUAGGCAGUGUCACUUCGGGCGUCACAACUCGAAGCAGGGCAAGAGCUCUUUAUGCCCCCUCAUCUACCCCUACAUUAACUCCGCCAAAGGAACAAGAGCACCCAAGGCACGAACCUGUGAUCACCCUGGCCUCGCUAAGGGCGCCAAGGAAGGAAAGCCAAAGGAAGUACUCUGGUUCCAUGCUUUCCGAUGCCGACUCAAGCGGCAACUCAGCCAUGCAAGUCAUGACUACUAGAGAGACUUCAAUAGAUGAGCAGCUGGCUCAUAUGAAUGAAGCGAUUGCAAGGCUAACACGGAUUGUGGAAGAAAAAGACUAGCAAAUCGCCGCACUCGUCAACCAACUAGAUGUAAAGCCCGACGUGAAAAUCGAGCAAGGGGAUGAUCCAGUAAAGAAGGAAAACGACGAGGAUGAAGAGGCUCAUGCGGAGAAAGUCGAAGAGAAACUAAAGCUAGACCAAUCAGCGGCACUUAUGGGAUCUUUCUCUAUUCAGCAGCUGUAGGAGAUGAUCGCCAGCACCAUCAAGGCACAAUACGAAGGAAGUUCACAUGACUCCGUACUAUACUCAAAACCCUACUCCAAGAAAAUUGACGCUUUGAAGAUGCUGAUGGGUUAUCAGCCACCAAAGUUCAUGCAGUUCGAUGGAAAAGGAAACCCAAAGCAACACGUCGCCCAUUUCAUUGAGACUUGCAACAAUGCGGGGAUAGAAGGAGAUUACCUCGCUAAGCAGUUUGUACGCUCGUUGAAAUGAAAUGCCUUUGAGUGGUACAUGGACCUAGAGCCUGAGUCCAUCAACAGUUGUUGCAAUUGGAAAAGGAAUUCCUCAACCGCUUCUACAGCACCCUCCGAACUGUGAGCAUGCUAAAGCUGACGAGUACGAAGCAAUAGAGGGAUGAGCCAGUCGUGGACUACAUCAACUGAUGGCGUAAUCUAAGCUUCGACUGCAAGGACAGGCUUUCGGAGAUCUCUUCAAUCGAGAUUUGCGUUCAAGGUAUGCAAUGGGGUUACACUACAUCCUUCAAGGCAUCAAACCACGAACCUUUGAAGAAUUAGCCACCCGUGCCCACAACAUGGAGUUAAGCAUUGCUCAUCAUGAAAAAAAAAAGCCAAUCACCAACUUCAAGAAGGACAAAGUGUUUGCCCCAAAUGUAGAUAAAACUGGGAAGAAGCCCGCCAAGGAAGCUUUUACUGUCAACACUGCGCCCAUCAAGGCCUCCUCCGCGCCUAUCAAGAUCUCUUCCAAAACCAAAGCAAAUGAGAUAAAGAGAGGUGAGCUUCCUCGCACACAAGACAGGUACAAAAGCACCCUGAAGGAAUUGGAGCAGAAUGCGUACCCUUUUCCUGACUCAGACAUGGAUACAAUGUUAGACGACUUGCUGGAAAAGAAGGUGAUUGAGUUACCAGAAUGCAAGCGCCCUGAAGAAAUCAAUCGUGUGAACGGUCCUAGGUAUUGCAAGUACCAUCGUAUUGUGAGCCAUCCUAUUGGCAAGUGCUUCGUUCUCAAAGAACUCAUUAUGAAGCUAGCACAACAAGGGAAAAUCGAGCUCGACCUCGAAGACACGGCUGCAACACAUACCACUACAAUUGCAUUUGGAUCCUUCGAUCCCAUGCUUCUCCAAGCGACACCUGACCAUUCCUAUCAAUGCUCAAGUUGCACGAUACCUUCUGCAUAACCAUCGCUGGGGGCAAACAAACAAGAUGCACAUACUGAUGAUGAAGAAGGAUGGACAUUGGUGACCUACAAAAAAACAAGGAAACCAAAACCACAAGCCACACGGCCAAAGGUGGAACAAGGGAGAAAGCACCGUCGCGCAACAGUAGGAAACCAAAAAGGAACGUAAAUGCUGCUAAGCCAACCUAUGCUGGGGAAUCUAUAGAGCAAGAGCCACGCAUUCCUAUCUCCUUGCACGAGUACUUCCCGGAGGACUUCUUCCAACAGUGCACUAUCGCUACAUGUCACAUGGUCGAAGUAGAAAUGGAAGAGCCCUUAAAAGGCAAAGCUAUUGCCAUUGAGGGAGAAAAAACUCUCACGCUCGAAGAAGGUCUGCCAACACACUUUAGCAUCAAGGAAACGCUACGAUUACCAAAGAAGAUGCGAAGAGCAUUGGCAGCAGUCUUGGCAAGUCCUGACGAUCACGAAGUGCAAGAAAGCAAGGACGAAGGCUUGAAGCUUCGGCCACAUGAAUGUGCCAUAUGUUGUGCCAUCGAGGACGCAAUCCACUUCAUCGACGAAGACUUGUUGCUAGGAUCCAAGCCCCACAACCGUCCUUUCUUCAUUUCUAGGUACGUAUGUUGGAAAUGUGCCCUAAAACCAAUCAUACGAUGAUACUUUACGAACAUUUCACAUGUUAAACUAAUCUAGUUUAAUAUCAAGGGCAAAGAUUAUUGUUUUAAGCCAUCUCAUAUAAAUGUUAUAUGCUUAAACGAUAAGUCCAAGGAAUAUGUAAUUAGGAGAAUGUAAUUUAAAGAAGUUAGAUUAUGAGACCAUUCUCUUUCGUAUACUUAUCCUAAACGUUCCUGAUCAUAGGAUUACCAAUUGGGCAUUGGCAGUCCGUUAAAAUCAGUACGUGUUGUGUCUUCUCUAAGGGAGAGUGACUGGUCUCGAGUCAUUGGUGUGAUUAACACCAAGACAAGCAUAUAGGUGCUCAAUAAAGAAUGAGUCCACUGAACACGAUCAACGAGGAGUUCUCAUACUCAUGUCACAUGAGAACUCAUGUUUGGGAUAAUGCAAAGUAGUCCUUUGACCUGAGGCAUCAUAGUUGUCUUGUGGUUAGGCCCUUGAUCUUUGACUAUGUCAAAGUCACUCUGUCAGAGGGUGUCUACGGCAUAGUUGGGGUUAAGUCACUUAGCCAUGGAGGCAAGUGAAUGCGCAACAAGGGAUCUCUAACCUUUAAACCGUUUAAAGGAGAAUACUCUAUAAUAUGAUUAAGAAUCUCUGGCCAGAGUAUGAAUGAGAUUUAGUAACUAUGUUUUACAAUCAUUGUAAAAGUUUGGCUAAUAAGAAGUAGAAGAUUAAUGAGAGAAGAGAAAGUACUUCACAUUCGAAACGUGAAUCAAAUGUAGAUCUUUGCGAAAGCAAAUUGUACUUACUUCCUCAUAUGAGCUACCAAAGAAAUUGGAAAAACCAAAGAUUGUCUUUACAUUCCAAUUUUAAGGAACUUAAUUCCGUCACUAUGAGAGAUGGAUGAAUGCUUUGUUCGACAAAACAUUGUUCUUUAUUAAUGAAUGAUUAGAUUAUUGUAAUCUAAUUGAUUAUCUCUAUAGUAGAGAUCAUAUGGUAGUGUUAACUAUUUAGAAUAUAACGAUGCUUAAAACCCAAAAGGUUGCAAGGUAGUGACUAAUCCCAACUGAGUUGUGAUACCUCUAAAACAUAAAUUACGAGUUGGUCAUAGAUGGAUGCUUUGGAUCGUUAGAUCCGGAUCCAAUGCCUUCUUGUUAAAAUUGUAUAGAUGCAAAAUGUUUGAAUCUUUAUUCCUUUGGAAAGGAAGAAAGAAUCACAAAGUUGUUGAGGUUAAUUCACUUAGAUGUUGGUGGCACUUGUCCACAACAUAAUACUACUCAUGUUGUAUGACAUUCAUCGAAGAUCGCUCUUGGUUGGACUAUCAUUUAUUUUGAAUAAACACAAGUCCGAAUACUUUGCAAAAGGUUUCAAAGAAUUCAAGAAAUAUAAGUUGAUGAGUAAGAUGUCUAAAGUAUUUACCUCCUUAGAUUUGAUCCAAGGAAAGGUAACACUUUAGAACAGUUUCCUUGAAAGAUAUCAAGGAAAGAAGCAUCAUAUGAUAAUGGAUUUCUCCAUUAAGAGAAGAACGAACUCGAAUAAGAUUUAGUUCGUUGGAUGUUAUCAAUUACCCAUAUAUAUAGGAUAUAUACUUCUAAGACAAUAUGAUUGUCAAUUAGAAGAUCUUCCAAAAUUUUCAUGACUCCAUAGGGUGUAGUUGGAAAGAAAGACAAAUCUUAAUCAUGUUAAGAUUUGGGGUUGUGGGCUAAUAAGCAAUAUUUGUUUGAGAAUUAUCUUGUGGAUAUCCUUAAAUUAACCUUUGGGUAUCACUUCUAUAAACCAACUAACAAAUGUUGUUUUGUUGGGUAGUUCAUUGUAAUCCUACAAUAUGAUUUGCCUAGGCGCAAAUGAACGAGAGAUAGAACUCAAAGAAUGGGUUCUUUGAGAGACAAGAUGAUAAUCAACAAAUAUAACAACCUAGUUCCUACACCACAAACUCCAAGGUAGUCGAGAAGGAUUUAUAAACUGUCUCAGUUGAAUGGUUUGAACUUUAUGACUAUGUCAUAGAGUUACACCUCUUAAUUCGAAAGAAAGAAGAAUGAAAAUCCUUAUGACUACAUUGAGUGUAUAUACGACAUAUACUCAAGGAAAUGGUAAAAUACCAUUUGAUCCGAAAUAAUGAAACCUUCAUAGCUAAUUGUUAGCUUAAGGUGACUACAAUCAAAGAGAAUGGUUGACUUGGAAGAAACCAUCUUUGACAUAGUCUUGGUUUCAAUUAAUUCCAAGAUUGGUAGCUACAACUAAAUGGUGAUUCAAUGUUUGGACAUAAUAUGGGUUUCCGAAACCAUUAUUAAGAUAGUCUUGAUAAUAUAUGUCUAAAACUAUGAAUCACAAGACAUGUAAGUUAUAGAGAUCCAUCCAUCAUGGAUCUUGGCAAGCUAGUGGGAGCUAUAAGCGUCUUAUGAGAGAAAGAUCAAAUCAAUUGAUUUCUCAUAAAGAUGUAAAUGAAUCUUUUGUUUACUAAGUUUACAAAAGAUUAGUGGGAGUUAAUCAUGUUCCUAAAAUUUAACACAUAUAUGAUAUAUUAAUUUUGGAAAUGAAAAGAAUACUUCUUCGUUAAAGUUAUGACUUUAAGCAUUCUAUAACGAUAGAAUGUAUAUGGGAGACAUAGUCUAUAAACAUGGGAUGGAAAUCUAUAAUGAUAGAUUUCAGGAUAUAAUUGGAUUAUAUCAAGCCCUAAUGAUAGACAAAAGAUGCUAGGAAGUUUCUCAUAUGAUGAUAAACUUCAAUCAGAAGAACAACUCUAGUGAGACUAGGAGGUAGCUCUUCUCAAAGGGAACGUACCCUUUGACUCCCAAAGAAAUAAUGCGUAAAUAGAAUCCUUUAUGUAUACGCAAAAAGGUGAUUUAUGUAUUUCAUAUUGUAUGAAAAACGUUGAUAUGAGUUGUACCAAGAUCGGUACAAGACUAUAUCAAUGCAAGCCCAGGAUCAGAACCAUGGCAACUGUCAAGUGAAUCCUUAAGUAUUUGAGAAAUAAUAAAGGUUGAAUUCCUCAAGAAUGAGGAAGAAUUAGAGUAACGUAAUGGAAGCGUAAAUGUGUUAGAUUAUGAAUCUAAUCCAUUAUUGGAUGUUUCUUCAUUAUGAAUGAAGAGAUAAUCAAAUAUCUCUUUAUUAUGACUAAAGAGAUAUUUGGAUGGAAACAUUAAAAGUAAUGACUUUAGUGUGUUCCAUUAUGAAUGCAAAAUAUAUUGCCAUAUAAAAGCUUACAACAAUGUUGUUUGGAUGGGAAAGUUCAUUUAUGAACUCUCUAUUCGGUUCCAACCAGAAAGUGUCUCCAGUGUAUCGACACUACGACACUAAUGGGGCGAUACCUCAAGCCAGGGAAUCAUGGACUCAUCAAGAUCCGAACUCAAAUGAGAGACUAAACCACAUGAUUGAGAAUCAUGUAUAAUGGUGACGUCAUUAUUCUCAAGGUUGCUUCUAUGGAUAACAUAUAGAUAUCCAUUGCCUAGGCCUACUACUCAGCCAUUUUUGAAAUGACUACAGAAGAGGUAUCAUCAUUGAUGACCAAGUUGAUUGGCUCUAGUGCAAGUGGGAGAUUGUUGGAAAUGUGCCCUAAAACCAAUCAUAUGAUGAUAGUUUACGGACAUUUCACAUGUUAAACUAAUCUAGUUUAAUAUCAAGGGCAAAGAUUAUUGUUUUAAGUCGUCUCAUAUAAAUGUUAUAUGCUUAAACGAUAAGUCCAAGGAAUAUGUAAUUAGGAGAAUGUAAUUUAAAGAAGUUAGAUUCAUGAGACCAUUCUCUUUCGUAUACAAAUCCUAAACGUUCCUGAUCAUAGGAUUGCCAAUUGGGCAUUGACAGUCCGUUAAGAUUAGUACGUGCUGUGUCUUCUCUCAGGGAGAGUGACUGGUUUCAAGUCAUUGGUGUGAUUGACACCAAGACAAGCAUGUAGGUGCUCAAUAGAGAAUGAGUCCACUGAACACAAUCAACGAGGAGUUCUCAUACUCAUGUCACAUGAGAACUCAUGGUUGGGAUAAUACAAAGUAGUCAUUUGACCUGAGGCAUCGUAGUUGUCUUGUGGUUAGGUCCUUGAUCUUUGACUAUGUCAAAGUCACUCUGUUAGAGGGUGUCCACGACAUAGUUGGGGUUAAGUCACUUAGCCAUGGAGGCAAGUGAAUGCGCAACAAGGGAUCUCUAACCUUUAAACCGUUUGAGGGAGAAUACUCUAUGAUAUGAUUAAGAAUCUCUGGCCAGAGUAUGAAUGAGAUUUAGGAAGUCGUUCCAAAUCACAUUCAAGGUAUUCAUAUAAGUAAAUGAAUCACAUUGGAUAGUAGACAUGAUUAAACUAUCAAACCAAACAAUAUGGUCAAGAGUAUUGUAUCAGAGAAAGACCGUAUUGCAUUGUAAUCCUAAACUGAAUAGGUUCUCCACCUCUUCUGAUUAGCUUGGGUAACCAUGACAAAUUGCUAGGUGUCACUCAUGGUUUUUGGAAGCCCUAAACGUGUAUAAUCACUAAAGGGAGAAUUGAAAGCAAGUUUCAAUUCACAAUCGAUUUGAAAGAGUUCCAAUUGCCCACUGCCUCGCUAAAAGGAACCUAAUGGAUCGUACACCGUGUAAGGUAGAGAUUGAAGAAACAACGGAGAUGAGUAAGGAUAAUUAAAUGGUUUAAUUAUUUAUGGCAAGGAUUAAUUAAUAUGUUAAUUAAUCAAACGAAUAAAGUUCGUUAAAGACCUCGGGUUAGUUUUGGGCCGCAAGGCCCAAUGGGAUUUGAAUAUCAAGCCCAUUAACUCAACUUGUAUGACAACUUGAAUAAACAAAGGGCUUGAAAGCCCAAUAAACCCUUAAGGCCGGCCAAAUAGAGGAGGGUAGUGAACUUGCUUUAAUUGGCAGUUUGCCACUCCAUUGUGAGGUGGUAUAAAGGCAACUUUAUAGCCAUUUCAUCCUUAGGGUUUUUCUUUUGGGGAAAGGAUGAGAACACAAUGCUCUCCUUUUCUCUCUAAGAGGCCGGCCCCUUUGGAGGAGAUUAGCUAGCAAUCUCUCAUCCUCCAAGGUCACUUAUCUCUUCUUCAAGUCCAUCCUUGGUGUGAAAAAAUUAGAGGUUCUCAACUUUGGGAACUUGGAGAAUCCUUUCAACCAUCCUCAUCCAAGAAAUCCAUGGAUCUAAUAAGCAAGGAAUGAAGGCCGUCUACUUGGGUGAUUAGCCUUUGCUUAUGCAAAGAGGAAUCAACAAAGGUAUAAAAUCUCUCAACUCAUUUUGUUUUUUAGUUGAGUCUUGGUUCACUUUUCUACUAGGCUUUGAAUUUCAUGGGUAAUGUUUUGUUUUUAAGUGCAUACAAGUAUGAUUCCUCCUUUAAAUGUUAAUUGCAUGCCAUAGAUGUUGCUCAAAUGAACAUGUUUUUCACAAAAUUUCCUUCAACGUAAGGGAGCACGAAGUCAACCGCAUGCUUGUGGAUGGUGGAUCAGCCAUAAACAUCAUGCCAAAGUCAACAAUGAUUACAAUCAACAUCAAGGCGGAUGAACUGUCUCUAAGUCGUCUACUAAUCCAAGGUUUUAAUCAAGGAGGACAAAUAGCGAUGGGCAUGAUCCGAGUGGAGAUGACUAUUGGUGAACUCAAGUCAAAUACGAUAUUCCACGUGAUUGAUGCAAGAACUUCCUACAGCUUGCUCUUAGGAAGGCCUUGGAUCCAUGCGAAUGGAGUAGUACCGUCCACCCUUCACCAAUGCUUAAAAUUCUACUGAGAAGGAGUGAAAGUGAUCUAUGGCAACACCAAACCAUUCACCGAAGCCGAAUCACAUUUCGUAGACGCCAAGUUCUACAUGGAUGAAGACAUGGUGCCCGAAGCUCUUCCAAAAGAGAUCAAAUCCACGGGCAAAGCAACACCUAAAAAGAAAGAAUGGCAAGCCAUGCCCAAGAAGCAAGAAGGAGAAGCCAUGCCGUCUUCAAGCAAGAACGAUGAUGAGCUUGCUAAACCUGCAACAACCAAAGGGAGCAGGACGCCCUCAAAUGGAUCAAACACACCCGUUUUCUGAUACAUCCCGAUGUCAAGAAGCAAGAAUGGUCAAUCCCCGUUCGAAACUGAAGCAAGCAAAGCCGAUGCACAGCAGCAUAGGGAUAAUGUAAAGUUGCUCAAGACGAAUGCAGUUUUGCCUCUAACACAGCUAAGCGACGCUAAGGUUGCAAGAUUACCACAAGACUUCGUAAAAGCUCUACCAAAGGGGGUGGAACCAAGCUUUCUCCUAACCAAGAGGACCGAAGAAGGUUUUGAUCCAAACGCCUACACACUUAUGUCAAAAGCUGGGUACGACUUCACUUCUUCUUCGAAUCCUGGGAAAAAGGUUUCAAACACCGUCAACAAUAAAGAACGUGACCUUACUGAGACUCAAAAGAAGUUGAAGAAGCAUGGUUACGGAGUUAACAACAACAAAGCUGGACUUGGCUUCACACCAAAUACACUCGUGAAGAUUUCAAGCAAAGCGAAAAAUGCUAGCACUCAACACAUCAGUGAGAGCAUUGAACAAAAUCGAGAGGAGCCUAAAUCCGCCCCUCGAACGCCAGUCUUCGAUAGGAAGAAUGGUUCAAGACCCAGAACGUCAGCACUUGAUCAUAUUGAUGGUCAAACCGAACCUCCAUCUUCAAGAGGCUUAACAGGCUAACAUCCCAAAGCUCUGUUUUUGAAAGGUUGUUAAAACCUAAGAAGCAAAGCAACACAGCUAGCUCUCCUCCUCGUCAGUCAGAUUUGGAAAGACUUGAAGACAACAAGAAGUUUUCUGGAAAUAGGGAAACAACGUCAAAGGAAGAAAAGCUCAAUAGGCUAGCAGAAAAAGGCGAUAUUCGAAACUCAAUUCCUUCAAGGAUGAAGCGUCAAGCAAUCUUGGAGGUUGACGUAAAUGGACCACUGAAAGUAAGAAGGCGGACCAUCAUCCACACUGGACAAUCUUCAUGCCAAUAAGCCCAAGAGGACGACACUAAAGAGGAAGUCCAAGAUGUCUUCCACAUCACGAUCCAAGAAGGCAUAGAAGACGAGAUCCACGAAGAAGAUGUCACUGCUGCACCACCACAACUUGAGGAUGGGGGGCAAGCCACAGUUGACGAUCUCAAGGAGCUUAACUUGAGCACAAAAAAGGAGCAAAAACUUAUCUUCAUAAGUGUGCUGCUAAGUGCAGACGAGAUAGAAGAGUACUACUAACUGCUAUCAGAGUACAAAGACGUCUUUGCUUGGACCUACAAGGAAAUGCCCGGCCUUGACCCUGUCAUCGCUAUGCAUCAUCUUGCAGUCAAGCCUGGAACGCGACUGAUAAAGCAAACUCAAAGGCGCUAUCGAUCCGAGCUCAUUCCACAAAUUGAGGCAAAGAUUGACAAGCUAAUCGAAGCAGGCUUCAUUCGAGAAGUGCAAUACCCCAACUGGAUCUCCAACAUCUUCAUCGUCCUUAAGAAAUCUGGACAAAUACGUGUUUGUGUAGACUUUCGGGAUCUCAACGACACUUGCUCGAAGGACGACUUCCCCUUGCCAAUCAUCGAAAUCAUGGUGGACGCAACCACUGGCCACGAGGCACUGUCAUUCAUGGACGGCUCUUCUGGAUACAAUCAAAUUCGCAUAGCUCUCGAAGAUGAGGAACUAACAACCUUCCGCACUUCAAAAGGUAUCUACUGCUACAAGGUGAUGCCCUUUGGUCUGAAGAAUGUUGGAGCUACAUAUCAACGGGCAAUGCAGAAAAUCUUCAAUGACAUGCUACACAAAAAUGUAGAAUGUUAUGUAGACGAUGUGGUGGUUAAGACAAAGAAAAGAUCAGACCACUUGAAGGAUUUGCGAUUCAAAAGGCUACGAAAAUACAACCUCAAGAUGAACCCGUUAAAAUGUGCAUUUACCGUCACCUCCGGAAAGUUCCUCGGCUUCAUCGUUAAGCACCGUGGUAUUGAAGUGGAUUAAUAAAAAAAUUAAGGCCAUUCAAAGCAUGCCAGAGCCAAGAAACCUGCACGAGCUGAAAAGUCUACAAGGACGGCUAGCCUUCAUUAGACGCUUCAUCUCCAACCUUGCAGGGCGUUGUAAACCAUUCAGCCGACUCAUGAAGAAUGAUGUUUCCAUUUGUAUUGGACGAAGCAUGCCACAAUGCUUUUGAAAGCAUAAAAAAGUAUUUGUCAAGUCCACCUGUCUUGGGGGCACCUGUGCUCGGGAAACCACUCGCAUUGUAUAUCGCUGCUCAGGAAAGUUCAGUCGGAGCACUUUUGGCGCAAGAGAAUGAAUCCCAGAAAGAAUGAGCGCUUUACUACCUCAGCCGAACUCUCACCGGCGCCGAGUUGAACUACUCCCUAAUAGAAAAGAUGUGCCUUGCCUUGGUGUUCGCCAUCCAGAAGCUCUAGCAUUACAUGCAUGCUUGCACUAUCCAUUUGGUUGCUAAAGCUGACCCGAUCAAAUACGUCAUGUCCAAACCAGUCUUAACAGGGUGACUUUCUAAAUGGGCGUUGCUUCUUAAUCAGUAUGAGAUUAUCUACGUCCUAGCUAAAGCCGUCAAGAGACAAGCGCUAGCAGACUUUCUUGCCGAUCACCUAAUUCCAGCUGAUUGGAAAAUCUAGACAACUUGCUUGACGAGGACGUGUUUUACAUCGACAUCUUCCCGACUUGGAUGAUGUUCUUGAACGGAUCUGCACGAGUAAACGAAACGGGGGCAGGAGUAGUAUUCAUGUCGCCACAAAGGCAAAUACUACUUUAUUCCUUCCAACUAAUAGAAUUAUGCUCCAACAACGUCGCUGAGUACCAAAUAUUGAUCAUCGGGCUCCAAAUGGCAAUUAACAUGGAAAUCAUAGCUCUCGAGGUAUAUGGCGACUCCAAGCUCAUAAUCAAUUAACUCUUGACUGAAUAUGAGGUGAAGAAAGAUGAUCUUGUCCUAUACUUCCGGCUGGCAACUCAAUUGCUACAAAGGUUUGAAGCUGUAACACUAGAACAUGUGCCAAGAAAAGAAAAUCAAAUGGCAGACGCUCUUGCCAACCUAGCCUCAAGCAUGACAUUAGGAGAAGACGAAGCUGCAGACGUGCCAGUCUGCCAAAGAUGGGUGAUCCCCCUUGUCACUGAAAUGCUACCGGAUGAUACGAAUGUCAUCUCAGUACUUCCAGUCGGUGUUGAAGAGUGGAGACAACCGCUGAUCGACUACUUAGAGCAUGGAAAACUUCCAGAUGAUCCUAGACACCGCUCUGAAAUACAUCGACGAGCACCUCGUUUCCUCUACUACAAAGAAAUGCUCUACCGGCGCUCUUUCAAAUGAGUACUUCUGAGAUGCCUAGACGAGGAAGAAGCCAAUCAAGCCAUGGAAGAAGCACACUCAGGUGUAUUCGGGGCGCAUCAGUCUGGACCAAAGCUACAUUUCCAGCUCAAAAUGAUGGGUUACUACUGGCCAAGCAUGGUGAAGGACUGCCUGGAACAUGCCAAAAGGUGCCAAGCCUACCAAUUCCACGCCAACUUCAUACACCAACCACCUGAGCCAUUACACCCUACAACUGCUUCAUGGCCAUUCGAUGCAUGGGGAUUGGACGUCGUAGGACCAAUUACCCCAAAGUCAUAUGCAGGAGAAGCUUACAUCCUACCUGCAACAGAUUACUUUUCCAAGUGGGAUGAAGCCAUACCCCUAAGGGAAGUAAAGAAGGAAACUGUCAUCCGUUUCAUCAAGGAGCACAUCAUCCACCGAUAUGGGGUGCCUCGCUAUCAUCACUGUCAACGAAAAACAAUUCUCCAACCGACUUGUGGAUGAGCUCUGUGAGAAAUACAAGUUCAAGCAGCACAAGUCUUUCGUGUAUCAUGCUCCGGCCAACGGUCUUGCAAAAGCAUUUAACAAAACAUUGUGCAAUCUCCUAAAGAAGGUGAUCAGCCGAACAAAGAGAGACUGGCACAAAAGAAUAUGCAAAUCACUUUGGGCAUAUAGGACGACACAUAGGGCUCCUACCCAAGCUACGCCCUAUUCUCAUGUAUAUGGCGUAGAAGCUGUUCUACCUCUUGAAAGUCAAAUCCCCCCACUAAAAAUGGCUAUACAAGAAGGCUUGAUUGAUGAAGAAAAUGCAAAGUUGCGCCUUCAAGAGUUAGAAGCACUCGACGAAAAAAGGCUCGAAGCUCAACAACACUUGGAAUGCUACCAAGCACGGCUAUCUAAGGCAUUCAACAAGAAGGUAUGCCCAAGGUCUUUCUAAACUAGAGAUCUCGUGCUUGCAUUGCGUAGGCCUAUCAUCACAACUCACAAGAUAAAAAGCAAGUUCACAUCAAAGUGGGAUGGACCAUACGUAAUACAAGAGGUCUACAGCAACGGCACCUAAUUCAUCAUGGCAGAAGACGGCUUGAAGAUCAGCCCUAUCAAUGGAAGAUUCUUAAAGCGCUACUACCCCUAAAAGGCGACAACCAACACUCCUUGUUCGCACAAGCCUAAACUACACAAACCAAAGCUCCUGGCUCGCAAGAGCAUAAACUGUGUACGGCAAAAUCAUCACCAAAAUCAUUGUUAAAUUCAUCACUCAUUUGAACUACGUUAUGACUUGAUCCUUCCUCAACCGAGGGUACGUAGGCAACUUGAAACGUCAAAACUUCAAGUACAGUCACACCAUCUAAAAAAACAAAAAAAAACACUUUGAAGAAUGAAGAUCAAAUUCAAAAAUGUAAAUACUUUAUUUCUUUAAAAGAAGGAGUCGGCUCUAAAGCCUGAUUGCAAGAAAAAAUAGAAUAUACUACUUGAAAACUAUGUCCCUAAAACUACGAAGGUGAUCUUCAAGCAAGCCUUACAAAGUUUACAAAGUCUCUACCUCGGUGGGAGACAAGAUGGGCAACUCCAUAGUCAUGCCUUUCUCUCGUUCUAAGCGUGAAAUCUCCUCUUGGCAUUGAGAAAGUGUAGUUCCUUGCUUCACGAGAACACUUUCAAGUUGCGAUGCUUCAAUUACCAAUUGCUCGCUCUCGCACCAACGCAUCUAGACGCGUCUGGACAGAAGUUAAAGAAGUCUCUGUAACUUGAUAAUCUCCCGAAGCAGCUUGCUGAAAAGACUGGACUUGAGCCAGUGACAAGUUUAUUGUUGUUAGCUAAUGAGCUCUAACAUCUGGACUCAACUUCUCCAAGGAAAUAGCACGCAAGGAAGAAUACUCAGUUGAGGCGGCCAUAAGUUUGGCAAUCUUGAUCUUCAAGGAUGAAGAAUCAACGUUAAGGUUGUCAAUCACAGAAACAAGCUUCGACAAAUCCUUAUUGAGCAACGUAAGGUCUUCCAACGGGCAUUUAGAAAUCCUCUUCUCUAUAUGGCUCUUGAUAUCCAUUGCCGCACCAAGAUUGAUGCGAUGGAUGACUUGCUCAGUACCGCUAAGGUUCGGCCCUCUCAAAGAGAUCUCAGAGCUAGCUGGCAAAGGUGUUGGAUGCAUGACGGAUUCUUGCAUACAUUCAAAUAACAUGGCAAACUCGGGAAGUUAGACGGAUUUGGAACAAGCUCUUCACUAGGCGGAUCCCCGAUCUCCCUGUCUGUAGGUAGGUCGCCUGCAAAUAGCAUCUCCGUAUAGGAAUAAACAUCUGCAGUUGCCACAUCAAAAGGAUGAGAAGGCCCAGCCUAAAGAAGACAAAGAAAGAUGUUAGAAACGAAAGCCAAAAUGAUGAAAGCAAAAGAAAUCACGAAAAAAAAAUGAAGUACAAACAUCUCUCUCAAAUGGCACACGGUCAUCGAAUUGAGGAGGUCUAAACACUUCUUUCUUCUUAUGACGAAAAUUGACAUCGCUGUCAACCUGAGCAUCCUCAAGUGGUCGUUUGUUUGAAAUUUGUUGACGCUGCUGCAAAAUAAAUCCAUCUUCGUGCGAAUCAACUUCAUCUCCCGCCUCUUCAGAAACAUCCGGAUGUCGAGGAGACAAGCAUAGGCGUUGAGGAGCUAAAGCUACAAGUCUAUCUUGUAAUAGAGUCGCACUCGCGCAAUCAAGAGGUACCAGUUGCAUAGGAACCACAGGACAACCCUCUCUCGACAUACCAUCGCCUGAGUGAGAAGAAUUGGUACCACUUGCCAUCCCCAAGUUCUUAUAAUGUACCUUUGACCACCAACAUGCGUAAACACGGGUUACUGGAUUAUUCUUGAACUCGUCCUUGGCUGGCGGCGUGAUAACAGCAUUUGUGCAUGCAUGGGUACAAGACUCCCAAUGCAUGUACACGGCUUGCAAGGAUGCCAAGGUUCUUUUCCUUCAGCUUGUCUGGCACGUUUUGGACAAAACCAAAUUGCCUGCUGAAACGGUGGGGACUAUAUGGCUGAACAAUACAGCGGUCUUCUUGCCGUAAAAAAACAAACCCCGAGCGAAGACUUAUAAGAUAAGACAAGUCUGAGAAGCGGAGACGCGAAUUGUUUACGAUGCCUCGCCACACUGGGCCAACUCUCGCUAAGGGGUACAUCCUCAAAUCUUCACAACGUUUAAAUAGUGCUCGCGCCUACAAAUCAUCAAGGCUCUUCACGGAGAGCACGCUAGAAUACUUCGUCAUCAAAGGCCCCAGCUUGGCUCUAGUCGAUGAAGAAGGCCUUGACAUGUCUAGAGUCGACAAAGAAAAAUGAAUGCCAAAAUAUUCACCCAACCAACCAUACACAUAGUGGUAAGGAAUCACCGCAACACGAUCUUCCUUGCUUACCGAGUCCGAAACAAUGCUCAAGCCAUUGUAAAUGUUAGCUAAGGCCGGAAUAGCAAGGCUAAAAGAUUCACCCACAGCCAUCUUGCUAACAACUUUGAAAACUCCAGGACGAAUUAAGUUGACGUCGCCUGUCGGGAAAACAAGCUUACAAAGCCAGCAAGCUAAGAAAGCAGCUAGGUAAGACUCCUCCACAUGCUCUGAUGUUAUGCCAAGAUCCUCAAACGCUCUCAACUCGUCAGAAGAGCGGUGCUUGGUUGAGCUAAUAACACCGGACGGGUCUGAGUCUCCCUUUGGCCUAGUAGUCUUGUUACGGCCACUUUUCUUCGAAGACUUUUUAUACCUCAUGGCCUCCCAGUACCAAAAUCGGAUCCAUGAGGAAAUCCUCAUGCCUGAUUUACCUUGAGCAUCCUGGAAAAGCUUGUGAUACGCCCAAAACAAACAGCAGCAACUCGCAGGCAAUCCUCGACUAUUGUAAAGAGAAAAUUCCUCCGCGCUGGGAACAACCUCGUCAUAAAACUUACCUUGAAUUGGCAAGCCUUCUAUCCUGUGAAGAUCCCACAGUGAAAUUGACAUAUCCCCUUGUGAAGAUCCCACAGUGAAGUGUGUUGGUCGCUGAACACCAAUGCUCAAAGAACGCCCGAAGGACGGAAUGAUAGCGAUCAUAACUAAACAAAGAUGCGUACACAGCAUGGUAAAGGCCCACUUUAGUAAGCACAUCUUUAGAUUGGCUUAAGACAUCUUCAAGCCACUCCCAAUAAAACUCAUCAAAGACGGCUUCUCUAAGAAGCUUAAACGAGGCCGGAUGAUGGUCACGAGCAUGGUGCGAAUGAUUCAAAAUAAGAACCCUCAAUGUGCACACCUUUUUCUUCGUAUUUGGUUGAACAGAGUUGAUAGGAGCAUAUUUAUGCGACUUAGUUGGCUUGUUCUUGUUCAUUUAUGUCGUGUUUCCUUAGUUAUUUUAAUGUUUAAAGUCAUUUUCGUGUGUUUUCAGACUCUAAGUACAAAGUAUGCAAGAAGAUGCAUUUUGGAGGCCUUUGGAGCAUGUUUCGGGCUUGGAAUGGAUAGCAAAUGCAUGGGCCAAGUGGAUGGACGAAUUUGAGAACUAAAGAGGCCAAGAAUAUGAAGAAUUAUGGUCCAAAAGAUGAAGAAAACAGCCCAAAAAUCUGUCACCCCAACUUGCAUUCCUUGCCAUGCAAACCACAUAGAAUUCCCUUUGGAUUCCAUGCCAUGCUUGAUCACUCUUGUCCCCUACAUAAUUUCUAAUUUCAUGCUUCAAUUCAUUUAAUUAUUACACUCAAUUGCUUGAUACCUCUUGUUCCCUUCACUCAUUAGAUUUUAGACAACAUUUACAUCCAUUACAUGCACCAAUUGAUGCUCCAUCAUUCACAUUUGGAAUCCCAUGCCUUGUGUACCACAUGUUGCUGCACCUUUGACCCAUUUAUUGACACAUUUUCACCUCCCUUUCCAUCUCUAUGCAAUGUACACAAUCAUUCAUGCCCCCUAGCUACAAGACCACUCCAUUUUACCCUUCACACUUUGCAUCAUCACUUCAUUUUCACCCUUGGACCAUUGCACACCACACACACAAAUUGCCAUGCAUUUCAUCCUUAACCUAACCUGAUUUUCUAAGGUUUUUGGGGCCUAUAAAUACAUGUUUACACCCCUUGGCCAAAGAACAAUCCCCCAUAUUCAUCAUUUUAUCACAGAAAUUCGUCCAUACACACCCUAGGAAGCAAAACACCCCAAAAACACCAUUCUAGUGCCUAGAAAACAUAACAGCCACUCCACCUUCUUCCACCCUCUUUGCCUAGUUCUCUACCACUCCCCAACCAUCAAACACUCUUCCACUCUCACCCUAAACCCUUCCACAAAAUUCCCCAUCCAUUCUACACCAUAAAUCCAACCAAAAAUCUGUCCACAAGCUUCAUGCCGCAAGCAAGGGAAAGGAGGAAUCUUGGAUGCACUUGCUACCAAGUUGGAGCAUUUUAGGUGUUUUCUUUCCUUUGAUUUUAAUGUCUAAUUUUAUGUAUCUUUGCUUUGUGAGUAUGAGGAACUAAACCCCUCUUAGUUAGGGGGUGAUUCGAAACCAUGUACAUGCUUGCAAUAUGAUUUGAUUACAUUCAGUUGUUAUUUCAUAAGUUGCGGAUUCAAUUCGUUCAUCUACUUGAUUGAUAACUUAUUUGUGUAUGUUGAUUGAGAGUGCACGCUUAGUUUUCAUGCAUCAAUAUGAUGCUAGAUUAUGAGGGAGUUUCACCUAAUAGUUACAAUCUUAUAAUCACAAGUAGUGAAGGUCGCUUGAAAACGAUCGCGUUGAAUGAAUUCUUGGCACUAGUUUCAUGCUCAUCAUAGUAACGAAUGCCUCGUCAACACUUAUAGUUCUCAUUGUGCUUCAUGAUUCUUGAUUGUAUCUUUAUUGUGCUCAUCACGUAAGGAACCUUUGAGGAAUGCUUUGAAUUGUUGUAUGCGCUUUUCCAUCCAAUUCAUUAACUUAAGGAGAACUUGAAGGUUAAUUUAAGCGUAUCUAAUUAACUUGGGGUGUUGAGUUUCAUAAUUUAUUGAAAGAACAACUGAAAAUCAUUUUGUUUGCAAGUGUGUCAUGUGUGGAGAAGAACCUCCUAACUAGCCUUUUAUCCAUCCUUUUCAUCCAAAAACGUUUUACAAUCUGUUUUGUUUUAAAGUUUCUGUUUUGUUUUCAAUUUUCGUCCAAAACAAAUCCCCCUUUAUUUUGAAGUCUUAGAUUAGUUAGAAAGUGUUUUGAUUUGUGUUUCUAAGUGUUUUGAUUCAAGUUUUCAUCCAACUUCGUCCAAGUUCUUGUUAGGUUCUCAAAACUGCCCAGAAAGUGGUUUUUAGGCAGUUUUGAGUCAUUAGGUUGAUGUUUUGAGUUUUAUGUUUGUUUAAGUAUUUUAAAGUAUAGUUUUGCAUUCUUUGAGUCUAGUUUAGUGUUUUAAAUUUUGUUUUUAUGUUUUUAAGUCAGUUUUCAAGUGUUUAGCAAUCCCUCCUAAUCCCCGGCCUAGAACGAUACCCUACUUACAUCUAUACUACAAUUGUCAAAAAUAGGGUUUAAUUUGUGUGUCAAGUAAUUCUUGCAUCAAGAAUCUACCACCUCCCAAGAUACUUCAGAAGAGAACGACUUAAUAUGCAGGGAGUUAUCUUUUGCGAGAAGAGCAAUCGCUUUAGGACCAGUCAAUGACGAGUAAAGCUUCAACGUUGCUCCCUCAUCUUGCGAAUCACCUUCAUUCGCAAGAAUGGUGAUGGUGUUGUUCUUAAAACAUUUGAAAAAUACCAUGACUGCAAAAAAAAAAAAAUCAGCCAUAAAACUUGAGCAGCAUGACAAAGAGGACAGCUACAGAGCGGUCCUUCAAAGCACGCUACACUGGCGAAGAAAACCAAAAUGCUACGUGAUUGCACUACGCAGCCCCGCCGCAGGCUAUUGCACAACACCACACGGCAGCGCACCACUGAGGCAAAACUGUGAUCAAAAGGCACUACACAGCGAAACCUCGUUGCAGUCUCUGGCACAAGCACUAGGCAACCUACUCACUCCGCCACCAAUAAUCACACCUCUGAAAGCUUCAUGAGGGUCCCAUCAUCAUGCUCUGCCUUCUUAAAAUUAAGGAUUCCUGGCAUCACAGCAAAGAAAUCCAUCAGCGGACACAUAAAUUGUGUAUAAAAAAUAAAUGCAUCAUAUUUUAUAUGUAAUACAUGCACGCGGUAUUGGGAUGGUUCAAUCAAUGUCCUUACAUAUACAUAUACAUAUAUAUAUAUGUAUAUAUAUAUAUAUGUACAUGUCAGAACAUUCAAUCAAUUCCAUACUAUAUAUAUAUAUAUAUAUAUAUGAUUGCACGCAACCCUAGGAUAUCAAAAGAUGGAAAUGGUAUGCAUGGCUCAAAAGAUGGAAAUGGUAUGCACGGCUCAAAAGAUAUAUAUAUAUAUAUAUAUAUAUACACGUGACUCACCAAGUAAAAGAGGCAUGAAGGAAUUGCGGAGGUCAAAGCACAUUAUAUUACAUAUAUAUAUAUGUAUGCACGGUGAUAAAGCAAACUACAACAGCGAUAAAGCAAACUGCAAUAACAGCUUUAAGUAUAUAUAUAUAUACACACGUGACUCACCAAGUAAAAGUGGCAUGAAGAAAUUGCAAAGGUCGAAGCACAUCAUAUUACAUAUAUAUAUGAAUUGCAGAGGUCGAAGAGGUGGAAAGCAAAAAAAAAAAAAUUGUAGAGGUCAUAGAGGCGCGGUGAUGAAUCACUCCUCGUCUCCAGCGCAACCGAACUCUUACAAAUAGCACGGAGAGUUGCAGAGGUCGAAGAGAUGGAAGGCAACUCGCCCUUGCGGUUCGAACCUGCACUUGCAGCCACUCUUUUGUCCAGUGCCAAGUUCAAUAGCGGUAGACACGGAGAACGCAGUGUAGCAUAGGAUUGCAGGACAAUGUAGUUGGGAUGCAAGACAAGUGCAGUGGUUGUGCAAUAGCCAUGCGGUGCCAUAUAUGUGUGUAUGCGUACGUAUAUAUAUAAUGGUCUCAAUGGUUGCAGAUGAAACCGGUUUGCACAUAGUGCAGUAACUGUGCAAUCCAUGAUGAUCUCUCAAGCGUCACUGACCCACAUAAGCAAAAGAAUGUGAUAAGGUGACUGUGCAAACAACGACCCGUGCUUGGAAAAGAAAACUAGAAUGAGAAGUAAUGAUGGUGCCAGCACCACCGAAAGCAAAGAAAAGAAGUGAUUAACAAGCACCAUCCAAAAGAAAUGAUAAUAAGCAAGAAAGACAGGUCAUGGUGCAUGCUACUAUUAGCAAGUCAAGAAUGAAAGAGGAAAUGGGUGCAUCAGGCACCAUCUAAGAAAAACAAAAAAAAAAAAAAAAAAAUGAAGUAAUACAUCUUAGUCAGAUAUAUGUUUUAUUUGUAUUUAGCACAACAUACUGAAUAAAGUAAACAAUGUCCAUUGAUAUCUCUAAGAAAUUACAAGUGCGUAAAAAUAAAAAUAAAAAAAAUAAAAAAAAUAAAAAAAAAGCCUCAGUACUUAUGUGAAGCCUUAGUACUCGGCGAAACCCUAAAAGAGGGAGGCACUGGAGAUGGAUUAUUUGGAGCUUUAAUACUUGGUCGACCUUCGGAGUCUAGUAGCUGAUCAAGCUUCUUCUUCAUGCCCAACAAAUAACUAUUUGCAAGCACAUGCAACUCUUUAUUCUCGCGCUUGAGUUAUCUGAUCUCUUGAUUAAGAGCUGCCACCUCGGCUAUCAAUUAUUCAACUUGGCGAGUUCGAACAAGUAAGCGUUGGCCCAUGUUGGAAACAGAGUUCGCACAUUGGACACUGAGAGCCUGGGAAUCUUGAACAGCUAACUCAUCAGACCGUUGUGAAAGUAUCCUAUUAUCUCUAAGAGUGAUGAGGUUCCUAGCUACAACCGUAGCCGUUGUUGCAUCCCUCAUCACAGAGUCUUCAACUGUAAGAGGGCCAUUAGAAGAUGAGAAGGACGGGCGCCAUAUAUUACCCUGAUGCGGUGCACCUGUGUCACUGCUGAGACUCAUAUCUAAGAAAAUGUUAGAUGGGUUAGCCAUUUCCAAAAAGAUGGUAAAAGAAAAGGGUUGGAGUGAGUAAAAUCUCAAAAAUACAGCAAAGACAAUUUUCAAAGGCGGGCAAUCUUCAAAGUGUGCAUGUUAAAUGCAAUUGACACCUCUUUAAAAAGAAGAGGCAACAUAACCACUUGUUCAAAAAAAAUAUCGAAGAGACACCACUCUUCAAAUUUCAAAACUUGGAUUUUCCUUCGUGAAAUUCGUCAACACUUUUCAGACGCAGUCUCAGCUUUCGGCUAACACGUGCAACUUUGCCAGAGAUCACUGACAAAGUUGAAAACGUGUGAAGUCCAUUAUUCCAACUACCACACUUUUGGCCGACAAGCGUGGGUGACAAGGCCACAUCCACAUUGCCACUUGAUAUCGGGAAAUCACCAUAUAAUUUGACCUCCAUCUUCUAUAGCAAGGCACACAUCUAAAAGGCCUGACCCUUCUUCCUUGCCAAAUGCAUCUGCAAUUAAAAGAGCGCCCGAAUUAUAUGGUGAUUUCAGGACAAGGAAAAAGAGAGCAAUCAACCGGCACUUGGAGUCAACCUUCCGAUUUGGAACCGACUGCCUGGAAACCCCUUCCCUGAUUGCUUACCUAGCAUUGCCUUCAACUUAUCUUCAACUGUUGAUGUACUUCCAGAUAAGACACCACAUCUGCCUGGAAAACAAAAGGUGUAAGUGAAGAUGAUACAUCGAAGCAUGUGGAGACAAGCGCAACAAAAUACGUGUCGGUUCAUCCGCUACUUCUUCAAAAGCAAACGUAUCUUAUAUCAUCAGGGUAGAAAGCAAGAGUAUCUCAUAUCAUGCCAUCUCCCUGUCAUUUCCUUCAUCCUUGUUCUUACCUGUAAAGACAAGGAUAAAUAAAGCAAUAUGUCGAAACCUCCACUCAAGCUCCUGGUAAGGAACCGACUGCCUGGAACCUUCCUGAGUGUUACAACAUCUUAUGCUUCCAGAGAAGAUACCACAUCUGCCUGGAGAAUAGAAGAGGCAAGUGAAAAUGAUGCAUCGAAGCAUGUAGAGGCAAGCACAACAAAUACAUGUGCUGAUCAUCCGUUACUUCUUCAAAAGCAAAAGUAUCUCAUAUCAUCAGGGUCGAAAGCAAGGGUAUCUCAUAUCAUGCUUUUCCCUAAUCUUUUCCUUUGCCCUUGCUCUUACCUGCAGAAUAAGGAGAAAGGAAGCAAUCAGUCGAAACCUGAAAUUAAACGUCCGAUCAGCAAAUACUUCAAGACAGUUGAUAUGGUGCUGACUCUUUACACUGAAGCUGCUAAGCAUGGAUGAUUGGCUGAAAAGUGAUGCUCUGAAGGACCAUUUAAAGGCAAAGCGUUGUGCACCACUUCGGUUAAGCGAAAGAAACAAGUAGAGAAGAAUGCAGCACGAUGAGCUAGAACAAAUCAUUAUGGCAAGACACCCUUCUCGGCAAAACUGCAUAAUCCAGACGGAGGAGUCUAAGUCAAAUCCAAGCCUGCCAUCGUUGCUAUAAUAAAAAAGCUUGAGAAGCUUCAGUUGGCACUGUCGCCAAAGAGCAAAGUCUCGAUAACCCUUGAAGAUCAUACCGUCAACCAAACUGCUCAGGGUUCAUAUGAAAAUGCUGCGAACUUCCUUGAUCUUUCAAAGCAUGCAUGUCCUGAAAUUGUGAUAGGAGCAUAUUUAUGCGCCUUAGUUAGCUAGUUCUUAUGCAUUUUUGUUAUGUUUUCUUCGUCAAAGUAGUCUUUUAAGCUACUUUCAUGUGUUUUCAGGGUUAAAGGACAUAUUACACGAAAUGAUGCAAUUUGGAGCUUUUGGAGCAAAAAGUGAGCUGGAAUGUGGUGUAUGCAAAUGGAGCAUGAGGAAUGGACGAGUUUGAAGGUCGAGGGAGCUUAAGAAAUGAAGAAAUGAAAGUAAAGAACAAAGAAGUCGGAAUUGGCAACUAAAGUUUCUAAAGUUGGAAGUUUCUAUUCUUGGAGGUUUCCAUUUUCGAGAGUUUCUAUUCUUGACUUUGGGCUUUUGGAUGACCCAUCUUUGCCUCUUGGACCUAUGCUGCACCUAACCCUAACCCUAGCCCACUUAAUCAGCCGCACUUAGGCCUUGUUCACAUGAAAAAAAUCUGAUUACUUACCCUAAGCCCAUGCCGCACCUAAUGUUCUAGAAACCCUAGUUUUUGGUGGAUUUCCUAACCCUAGCCGCACCUAAACCCUAGCCCAUUUGUCUAACCUGAUUUCUUUAGGGUUUGGCUGCCUAUAUAUAUGUGUUUUACCUCCCUUGGCCGGAGAACACCCUCUCCAUAUUCAGAAUUUUCGUCCAUACUUUCAGCCACACCAUUCUACACAUCGGAAAAUCCCAAAACACAAUUCUAGCCAUUUUUCUUCCUUGCCGCAAGCCAUCUACCACCAUUCUUCCAUAUUUUCUAACCUUCCCCCAUCCUUUUGCCGCAACACAUCCAUUCCACCAAAGAGAGGAGCUUUGCCGUGACCUUAGGAGAGGAGGAAGGCUUUGCCGCAUGCAAUCUUCAACCAUUGGAGUUUCUAGAGUUCUUUCUUCCCUUGCUUCUGUUUUCAUGUUUAAUUUAACUUGCUGUUCAAUUAUGUUAAACAUGUGGAACUAAUUUCUUUUUAGUUAGAGGUGAAUUUGAAGCCAUGGACAUAUGUUUUAUAUGAUUUGAUUUCUUCCAAUUAUGAUUUCAGAAAUUGUGAAUGUGAUUUACUUAUCUAUUUGAUUGAUAACUUGUUUAUGUAUGUGGGUUGAGGGUCGACACUUAAUUUGCAUGCUUAAACUUGAUGCUAGGGUAUAAGGGAAUUUCACCUAAUCGUUAUUAACUUAUAUUCGUAAGUAGUGAAAGUCGCUAGUCACGAUUGUGUUAAGUAAAUCCUAGGCAAGAGUAACAUGCGUAUCCCAUAGUUUAUGAAUGCCUCGUCAAUGCUUAUGAUGUCCAUUGAACUUAAUGAUCUUUGAUAUGUGUCUCUAUCAUGCGUAUUCCAUAGUUAGGGUCCUUGAUAAGAAUAAUUUGGUUGUAAUGCGUAUUCCAUUCAAUUCAAUGAAUCUAGGGAAAUCUGAGAAUUAAUUGGUGCAAUCUAGUUAAUUUGGGGCAUUGUCAUUCAUGGUUUGUUGAAAGAGUAAUUGGAGAUUGAGUUGUAUGCAUAUGUUCAUGUGUGGAUAAGGAACCCUCUAACUAGCUUCUCACCAUUCUAUUUCAUCACAAUCUGUUUUGCUUUAAGUUUGUUUUCAAAGUUUAAGUUUUAAAGUUUCAAUUUUCGUCAAAAUCAUUCCCCCAUUUAUUUUAAAGUGUUAGAUUAGUUAGAAAUCCAUUUAGUUGUGUUUUUAAGUGUUUUGAGUCAAGUCAUAGUCCAAAUUCGUCCAAACUAGUGUUAGGUACUCAAAACUGCCCAGAAAGUGGUUUUAAGGCAGUUUUGAGCCUUCUAGUUGCUGUUUUGAGUUUUUAGUUUGUUUAGGUGUUUUAAAUUCUAGUUUUGCAUUAAUUGAGUCUAGUUUAGUGUCCUACAUUAUAAUUUUAUGUUCUUGAGUCAGUUUUACAUUGAUUAGCAUCCCUAGUUAAUCCCCGGUCUAGAACGAUCCCUAUUUGCUCAUAUACUACAAUUGUCAUCCAUAGGGUUUAAUUUGUGUGUCAAGUUAAUUUUCACAUCAAAUUUUGGCGCCGUUGCCGGGAAUUAGCAAAAUUGCUAAUCCCUUGUGUUAUUGCCGUGUGUUUUAGUAUAAAUUACUUAGUUUUCUGAUUUUGUUUUGUUUUCUUGGUUUAGGUACUAGUGCAUGACGCGGAGUCCUCAAACUGUGCAUGCAAAUAUCUGGGACUUUAACGACGAUUUUGAACGUGAUUUGAGAAGAAAGAGGAGGCAUCCCGAACCUAGUGAACCUAGUUCAAGUUCAGAGGCCGAAUCUGAGUUUGAAGAAGUGGAAGAAGAAGUUAUGGCCGCGGACAAUCGGACCAUUAAAGAGCUUUCGGCCUCGGGGUUGACAAAUGCCGCACCAUUAUGCAUUCAAUACCCCGCGGCUGCCCAAGGCAAGACCGACGAAUUUGAGUUGAAGUCAAGCUUGUGCACCACAUUCCGAAAUACCAUGGGCUUUCCAUGGAAGAUCCCAACAAGCAUCUCAAGGAGUUCGAGGUUGUUUGUUCGAGCAUGACACCCAUCAAUGUUGACGGGAGUAUUUUGAUGAUGAAGGCUUUUCCAUUCUCACUUUUGGAAAAGGCGAAAGAUUGGCUUUACGAGUUAGCACCCGGAACGGUUACAUCUUGGGAUAGUAUGAAAAGAGCGUUCUUGGAGAAGUUUUUCCCAACUUCAAGAGUCAUUCUCUUGAGGAAACGGAUUAGUGGCAUCCAACAAAACCCAGGUGAAUCGUUUCCUUCUUAUUAUGAACGUUUUAAAUCACUUGUUGCUUCUUGUCCACAGCAUCAAAUGAAGGAGGAGCUGCUCAUUCAAUAUUUCUACGAAGGACUCCUUCCCAUGGAACGCCAAAUGCUUGAUGCCUCGGCGGGAGGUGCGUUGGUGGAUAAAACUCCGGGGGCUGCAAAAGUUCUAAUUGCCAACCGAGCACAUAAUGCACAACAAUACGAAGGUGUUGGACAAAGGGACCCUCCACGGCCACAAGUGAAUGAGGUAAGUUCUAUGCCCGAGAUUCAAUCCCAAUUAGCUAACCUUACCUCUAUUGUUUCUCAGUUGGCCGAGCGAAUGAAGAUUCAUGGACCAAGUGUGUGUGGCGUGUGCUCGAUGCAAGGACAUGCCAACGAUCAAUGCCCUCAAUUGAUUGAGAAUGGGGGUUGGGAAUCUGCCAAUGCGGUGGGUUUUGGGAACCAAAAUCAACCAUGCCAUGAUCCAUACUCUAAUUCCUACAAUCCGGGGUGGAGGGACCAUCCGAAUUUCAAAUGGCGGGAUCCUCAACAACCCCAACAACAAGGAGGAUUUAGCCAGCAACCACCGGGCUUUUAUACAAAGCCAUUCGUCCCCAAUCAAAACCAAGUGCAAACCGCCCCACCAAACUCAGGUAUGUCUUUGGAUAAUGAUCAAGUUGUUAAGUUACUUACUACUUUGACGCAGGAAGUACAAACUCAAAAUAAGGAGAGACAAAUCCAAGACAAACGGGUGGACAAUUUGGAGAAGCAGAUGGGUCAAAUUGCCGAGUUUAUAGGGCAAAUUAGAGAACAAGGCAGAUUGCCUAGUUCAACUAUUAUGAAUCCUAAAGGAGGCUUUGAAACCGUCAAUGCAAUCAUGUUGAGAAGUGGUACACAGGUUGGAGCCGAACCAAAAUCAUCCAAAUCAAGUCACGAUGAGGAUGAAAAGUUGCUACAAGAGGAAGCACAAGGACCAAAACUCACGGCCAAGGAUGAACAAUCCUUGCCGCCACCAUCUAGCCCUUCUAAGCCGUCCCAAACCACCAAGGUAAGUCCAAAUUCGACUUUUUCUAGUUCCAUUCCACUAAAUGUGCCCUUUCCUGGCAGGUUUAGGCAAUCAAAAAGAAGGAAGAAGCCGAGAAGGACAUUCUAGAGACCUUUCGAAAAGUUCAAGUCAAUAUUCCGCUCCUUGAUGAUGCAAUUAAGCAAGUCCCGAGGUAUGCUAAAUUUUUUUAAAAGAACUUUGUACAUCAAGGAGAAGGAUUUCGAACAAAGAGGUGGUCCCAAGUAAGUGAGAAUGUUUCUGCCAUGUUACAAAGGAAAUUACCCCCUAAAUGCAAAGAUCCGGGUAGUUUUACAAUUCCGUGCGUUAUUGGCAAGACUAAGUUUGAACAAUGCAUGUUAGACUUAGGGGCUUCGAUUAAUGUUAUGCCAUACUCUAUUUAUGCAUCUAUGAACUUAGGUGAGCUUAAAAACGAUGGUGUGAUUAUUCAAUUAGCCGAUCGUUCUAAUGCAUAUCCAAAGGGUGUUUUGGAAGAUGUUUUGGUGCAGGUGGGCAAUUUGAUUUUUCCAGCGGACUUUUACGUGCUUGACAUGGAGGAUUCACCCUAUUCUACCCCAUUGCCGAUACUAUUAGGGAGGCCCUUCAUGAAGACAGCCCAAACCAAGAUUGAUGUGGCUAAGGGAGAGUUAACAAUGGAGUUUGGUGAUGAAUUGAUUAAAUUCAAAGUUCCUGAAUAUGUUAAGAAUCCUAAUGAUGUUCGUUCUUGUUUUGCAAUAAAUGUGAUUAAAAAUGUGGGGAAGGAACAUUCAUGCGCACCAAUCAAGAAGGAUGUCCCUAGAUGCAUCAUCAAAGAGGGUAUUGGAGUGGAGUAUACGAAACAUGUCAUUACACCCAAAAUACCAAAUCUGGCUGAGAGCACCACCUUUGCUGCCCCUUUUGAGUCUUCAUACACAUGCAUUGGUAAGCCUCCUCCUCUAAUUCCAAUUCCCAUUUCCACUAAUAGGUUAUUGCCUUCUGUGGUGCAGGUACCAAAUCAAAUCCAUGAUUAUGGGAGUUCUUACUUUGACCUUGGGAAGCUCAAUGCCACAAUCUGGGACCAUCAUUAUCCACGGCCAUACAUAGACCCAAUGCAUGAGUAUUUCAAGGAGCAUGUCAUGGAGGAUGUACCCCUCCAUGCCGUGGCACAUAGUCAAGCUUAAACGGAGGUACCGUCCGGCUGGAAGACGUUAAAGCAAGCGCUUCGUGGGAGGCAACCCAUGCAUUUGACAAAGGAAGACCUAGAGAGCAAUCCAAUUCCAGAUUUGCGUUUCUAAACCCUUCUCUUUGUUGUUUCUUUCGUUUCUGCCAUGUUUAGUUUGUUAGUAUUGGUUUGUUUGUUUAUGUGUUUUGGUGUGAGUCUAUGCUUGAAACAUUGAGGACAAUGUUUGGUUUAAGUGUGGGGGGGUAACCAAAGUGUUUUGAUGCAAAUUCGUAGGGUUUUCUCACUCAUAAUUUCCAAUGUUGUUUCUUGCUGUUUUUAGGUGUUUUUAGGCUGUUUUGGUGUGUUUUAAUGUGUUUUGAUUCAAACAUCCGAAAAUCCCAUAAAAAUUUGAAAAUUUGUUUUUGAAAAAACCCAAAAAGAGUCGUUUUUAAGUUGUUUUUGUGUGUUUGUUUGUGUCUUAGGGUACCUUCCAACACAAUGAUGAGGAUUUGGUUUUUAAUUGCAUGACUAUUGAAGAGAGUUAUAAAACAUGGAUGGAAGUUUGAUUUACUCUUGGUUUAUGCUUAGUUGUAGUUAUAACUUAUGAAUUCACAUGUAAUCAAAAAGAAAAAAAUCAGUUUUUGUGACAUGCUUGAAGGAAGAAACUCACAAACUAAAGCUACAACCCUGAGAGACUUGAGCCUAAACUUUAUUUGGAGAGUUGAAAUCUGUGCAUUCUUGUUUUCUAAAGUCGUUGCAUGAUCUCAUUAUUCUUUGCUUGGUUACUACUUAGAAGGCGUUUCAUCAUUUAGUUCCAAAUGCUAGAACUCAUGCCAAUUUCAUUCAAAACAUUUCAUUGAAUUGCAUAACACAUAUUCGAGAAGAAGUUGUUUAGUAGUUGCCACCAUAUCCAAAAAGCCUUCAUUCCAUACAUUGUUUUUGUAGGUUUAACCCCGUUGAGCCUUAUUUAGCCUAUAUUGUUUGUUAACCCACAUUAUCCUUACCUAGCCUAGAUUAGGACCAUCCAUACCCUUGUUCUUGAAGCAUAGUAAGCAUGACUUAAAAUGAAUUCCUUUUGAUUGAGGGUGUGCAGAAAACAAGUGUGGGGGAGUGAUUUUUGAUAGGUGGAUGUGCCAAAGUCUCUUUUGAGGCACGAGAAAAAAAAAAUAAGCAAAAAAAAAAAAAAAAAAAAAAAAAAGAAAGAAAAUUCGUAGAAAAAAAGAAGAAAAAAAAAAGAAGAAUGUUGAGAAAAGUGUGAAAAAGAGUUGAAAGAGCAUGGAAAUGAGCUCUAAGGUGUUGGUUGUUGAAGAAGGGGUCCAAAACAUUGAAUUUGACCCCAAGUGUUGCAUGAAUUUCCCCUUUGAGUUAAAAGUUGAUUUUUGCAUUCAAAAGUGAAUUCUAAGUGUCAAUUUCAUUGCUUUGCUUACUAUUGUUUAAGAACGUUUGUUUAUCCUUCACCUUUCUUUGUUAACCAAUACCCCAAGCCCCGUUACAACCCUUAACUUCUAUCUUGAGUGUUGUGUAUUUCAAUUUGUGGAGUUUGGGAUUGGUAU
rnacentral:lncRNA from 1 species